rnacentral:rRNA from 1 species
AAACCGACACAGGUAGGCGGGGAGAGAAUCCUAAGGUGCGCGGGAAAACCCUCGUUAAGGAACUCGGCAAAUUGCAUCCGUAACCUAGGGAGAAGGAUGGCCCCCGGUCAGUGAAGAGCAGAAACGCUCAGAGCUAAAAGGGGCGGCAGAAAAGAGGCCCAAGCAACUGUUUACCAAAAACACAGGUGCCUGCGAAAGCGAAAGCUGAAGUAUAGGUGCUGACGCCUGCCCGGUGCCGGAAGGUUAAGGAGAGGUGUGAGCGAAAGCGAAGCAUCGAACUGAAGCCCCGGUGAACGGCGGCCGUAACUAUAACGGUCCUAAGGUAGCGAAAUUCCUUGUCGGGUAAGUUCCGACCCGCAUGAAAGGCGUAAUGAUUUGGGCACUGUCUCAACGAGGGGCCCGGUGAAAUUGAAAUACCUGUGAAGAUGCAGGUUACCCGCGACUGGACAGAAAGACCCCAUGGAGCUUCACUGCAGCUUGAGAUUGAAUCCCGGUGACAGAUGCACAGGAUAGGUGGGAGGCGCCGAAGCAUUGCCCUAGGGCGGUGCGGAGCCGAUGUUGGGAUACCACCCUUCUGUUGCUGAGAUUCUAACGCGAGGAGUAACAACCCUGCGGACCCUCUCAGGCAGGCGGUUUGACUGGGGCGGUCGCCUCCGAAAGAGUAACGGAGGCGCCCAAAGGUUCCCUCAGGCCGGACAGAAACCGGCCGAAGAGUGCAAAGGCAGAAGGGAGCUUGACUGCGAGACCAACAAGUCGAGCAGAGACGAAAGUCGGGCUUAGUGAUCCGGUGGUACUGGGUGGAAAGGCCAUCGCUCAACGGAUAAAAGCUACCCUGGGGAUAACAGGCUAAUCUCUCCCAAGAGUUCAUAUCGACGGGGAGGUUUGGCACCUCGAUGUCGGCUCAUCACAUCCUGGGGCUGGAGUAGGUCCCAAGGGUUGGGCUGUUCGCCCAUUAAAGUGGUACGCGAGCUGGGUUCAAAACGUCGUGAGACAGUUUGGUUCAUAUCCAUCGCGGGCGCAAGAAGUUUGAGAGGAGCUGCUCCUAGUACGAGAGGACCGGAGUGGACGGAUCAACGGUGUCCCAGUUGUCACGCCAGUGGCACGGCUGGAAAGCCGCAUCCGGGAAGGAUAAACGCUGAAAGCAUCUAAGCGUGAAGCCAACCUCAAGAUGAGACUUCUCAUCAGCAAUGAGUAAGACCCCUUACAGACGAUGAGGUAGAUAGGUUAUGAGUGGAAGAGCCGCAAGGCUUGGAGCGACAUAAAACUAAUAGGUCGAGGUCUUAACUUA